GCCAUUCACAAGUGGCUCCAGCCUGGUUUGGGGGUCUACCCUUUCUCAUCAUGUCCUGCCACCCAAUAAAGCCAAGUGGCUCCAGCCUGGUUUAGGGGUCUACCCUUUCUCAUCAUGUCUUGCCACCCAAUAAAGCCAUUCACAAGUGGCUCCAGCCUGGUUUGGGGGUCUACCCUUUCUCAUCAUGUCCUGCCACCCAAUAAAGCCAUUCACAAGUGGCUCCAGCCUGGUUUGGGGGUCUAGACUUUCUCAUCCUGUCCUGCCACCCAAUAAAAAGAGCAAUAACUAAAGGCCUCUGCAACUGCUUUUACCAGAUGCUGUGAGAGAGCCAUGCCCUGAAAAAACGCCAGCCACCAGCCACCCAGCCACCAGCCUAUGAAUGAAUUGAAUCAAAUAAUUUAAUAAAUAAAUCAAAUUACCAUGAAAUGCAUUUAAUCUUGUUUUUGUU